UUUGGUUCUAAGUCCAAUAUGGCAAUUCUCAAGGAUCAGCUGAUUCAUAAUCUUCUAAAGGAAGAACAGACCCCCCAGAAUGUGAUUACCGUUGUUGAGGUUGGUGCUGUUCACAUGGCCUGUGCCAUCAGUAUCUUAACGAAGGACUUGGCAGAUGAACUUGCUCUUGUUGAUGUCACGGAGAACAAAUUAAAGGGAAAGAUGAUGAGUCUCCAAUAUGGCAGACUUUUCCUAAGAAAACCAAAGAUGGUCUCUGGCAAAGACUAUAAUGUAACUGCAAAUUCCAAGCUGGUCAUGAUCGCAGCUGGGGCACAUCAGCAAGAAGGAGAAAGCUCUCUCAAUUUGGUCCAGUGUAAUGUAAACAUCUUUACAUUCAUUAUUUCUAAUAUUGUAAAAUACAGCCCAACUGCAAGUUCCUUAUUGUUUUAAAUCCAGUGGAUAUCUUGACUUGUGUGGCUUGGAAGAUAAGUGGCUUUCCCAAAAGCCGUGUUAUUGGAAGUGGCUGCAAUCUGGAUUCAGCCCAAUUCCAUUCCCUGAUGGAGGAAAGGCUGGGAGUCCACCCAUCAAGCUGUCAUGGGUGGGUCCUUGGGGAGCAUGGAUAGUCCAGUGUGUCUGUAUGGAGUGGGGUGAAUGUUGCUGGUAUCUCCCUGAGGAUUCUGCACCCAGAGUUAGGGACUGAUACAGAUAAAGAACAGUGGAAAGAGGUUCACAAGCAGGUGGUCAAGAGUGCUUAUGAGGUGAUCAAACUGAAAGGCUACACAUCCUGGGCCUUUGGUCUCUCUGUGGCAGAUUUGGCAGAGAGUAUAAUGAAGAAUCUUAGGCAGGUACACCCGAUUUCCAUCACGAUUAAGGGUUUCUAUGGAAUAAAGGAUGAUGUCUUCCUUAGUGUUCCUUGCAUCUUGGGACAGAAUGGAAUCUCACACCUUGUGAAAGUGAUUCUGACUCCUGAGGAAGAGGCCUGUUUGAAGAAGAGUGCAGAUACACUUUGGGGGAUCCAAAAAGAGCUGCAAUUUUAAAGUUUUCUGAUGUCACACCGCUUCACUGUCUAGGCUACAACAGGAUUUUAGUUGGAGGUUGUGCAUGUCGUCCUUUUUAUCUAAUCUGUGAUUAAAGCAGUAAUAUUAAGAUGGACUGGGAAAAGCAUCAAUUCCUAAAGUUAGAAAGAGGCAUAGUUUGUAAAAUCCUACAGCUAUAUCCUGAUGCUGGAUGGUACUAAUCUUGUAUAGUCCUAUAAGUCUACCACCUUUGAGGCACCACUGCCAAUGCUGCACAUGCUGCAGUUACCCCUUGAGCCAGAUGGAUGUUUACUGUAUGUUAUAUACUUUCCUGGCUCCUUCACCAAACAUGCCUCGUCCAACAUUUU